CGAAGGAUGCAAGCGUUAUCCGGAUUCACUGGGUUUAAAGGGUGUGCAGGUGGGGUAAUAAGUCAGUGGUGAAAGCCCCCGACUCAAUCGGGGAACUGCCAUAGAUACUGUUAUUCUUGAGUGUAGUUGAGGCGGAUGGAAUAUGACAUGUAGCGGUGAAAUGCUUAGAUAUGUCAUAGAACACCGAUCGCGAAGGCAGUCCGCCAAGCUAUUACUGACACUGAAACACGAAAGUGCGGGGAUCAAACAGGAUUAGAUACCCUGGUAGUCCGCACCGUAAACGAUGAUCACUCGUUGUUGGCGAUACACAGUCAGCGACUAAGCGAAAGCAUUAAGUGAUCCACCUGGGAAGUACGACCGCAAGGUUG
rnacentral:rRNA from 1 species